CAGAAAAUUUUGUGCGUGAAGGUGCUUAGGGGGUCGAUAUUAUCUUUGGAGAUCACCUACGGGUAGAGGACUGUACUCGUACCUGUGUCUGCUUCCGCCAAAUAACUUAUGUAAUGGCAAAAACCACUCGAGGAAAAGAAAAUGCAUCUCAGGAUCUUGUCAACUCACCGUUGCGCCGUGUCACUCGGUCACUUGCACGUGCCACUCCAUCACCCUCGGCGAAGGCUGUCCCAAGUUAACCUUCUUCGCCAACAGUGGUUUCAACCAAGAAGAAUACGAGUAAGCUGCCAGGGGCACACGUAUCACCUCUUCUGGACCGAUUACGUAGGAUUACUGGAGAGUGGGAGAAAGAGCAUGAUUUCAGGUCGCCAUCAGUUGCAGCUCCAUCCACAGUCCGACGGAGUCUUCUUCAGGAAUCACAAGCGCCAGAGGAGGAAGAGCUGGAUGGGGAUGACUCAGAAGAUGAUGAAACUAUUGGUCCGACUUAAGAUCAGGUCCCGACUAAUUGCAAUCUCGAUGACGAAGGUGGAGCACAUGAAGCAGAGGCUGAGGAACUCCAGGAGACAUUGGGCAAUGACAUUCGCGAAGAGGAUAUAGCAAUGCAGGAUGAUGGCCCUCUUUCGAAAAAGAAAACUGGAAGAGGUGCCGCAAAGAUGCCCCGUGGUUGGGUUGGUGACAAAUUCCUUCAGGUGUUUGUGUCCGAUGAUGGCAAGCGGAUAAUAUGUACUGAAGUUCAUGGAUAUAAGAGUGCU